CGAGGAUCUGCUUCCAUCCCUGUCGUCUCCGCCGGCAGCCCACGGCCAACGGCCGGCCUGGCUCUGCCCCACCACGCGACGCCUCGACGGCAUGUACGGAGAGCCAUUCACGUGGUGUUAAUUCAGCACAGCUCUUUAUAAUUUGUGCCUACAAGGUGUUUGGUGAAAAGGCAAUAUGGUUGUACAGAAGGAUUAAUCCAUGUUGAUAGGUUAUGUGGCCAGCCUCAGAUCGGCUAGAUUGUGCCAAUGGAUGCGGUAUGACGAUACUUUUCUUAUAUUUUCCUUCAUCCUACUACCUAUUAGAUAGGAAAAAAAUG